AUACCGGGGACGAGUCUCCGAGCUGCGGCUUGUGCUCUCGGAGGGCCAGGCUGAAGCUGACCGCCCCCACGGCCACGCUGGACACCCCCAGCCCUAUCUCCAGCACGGAGAGCACCAAGAGGCUCCCAAUAAUCUGACCGCUGGUGCACAUCCUUCCUCGGUCAUCUUCCUUCCAGAUCAGAGAGGGAAAUCAACCAUCUACCUUUUUUUCUUCCACUAUCCUCCUUACCCCUUCCACCCCCUACCAGAUCCCAAAACUUUUCUUUCUUCAAGAGCGAGGCA
rnacentral:lncRNA from 1 species